UGAGGUUGCUUAGGAAACCACCCCACAAUGGCAGGAGACACCAUGAGAUGUUUUCUACUGUAGAAACUUUCUCAUUAGAAAUAGCCCAUUUAUACAGGGGACUGGCUAAUGUUUUUCUAUGAGUAUCAUUAGCCAGUGUCUCAAAGUGGUGAAGAGUAAGUAUAUAGCAUCUUUCAAAACACAACCUGUGGAAGGCUAGGCAGGGAGUCAGGAAAGGCUGGAGUCACCAUGGUCACUUAUUGGUAUCUCCUCCAGUCCCAGAAGGAGGAGUUGAGGCCGACAUUGGACAAACAAAGCCUUAAUUUAAAAGCAGUAUACACACCUGUCACCAACAGUAACCUCAUGAUUUAGAGGCAUUAGCUUCUUUUCCUACAAGCUUAGUGUGGGGUCAAGGUUACCUCUGGUCCAGAAUAUCUGGCAUAUGACAUAUUUGCAGGUAAGCUGUUUAGUAUUAAAAUGGCUUUGACAGCAUAUUUACUGUUAGGUUAAAGGACUAUAGACCAGUUGUUAAUAUGAGAAAUAUAGCCAGGAGAUGACUCUAACACAACGCUAACAGGAACCAUAACAUCCACUCUAUGUCUUCUCCCUUUCAAAGACAGCUGUUAAAGAGUAACAGAAUUCUCCAGAUUCAUUUCUCAGAUUUGUGGGAAAGCCUGAGUCAGGCACUUUGCAUCCCCCAUGCCUUUCAAACCUGAUGGACUGCAACCUGGAACAAGGAGAGACAAAGGGAAGGAGGAGUCUGGAGCCAUAUUGAAGAUGAAAUUGAGAUAUGGACUAGGUGGUGGAUCGUUUUUAUAAGAGGACAUAAAAGAGGAUGCUAAAGCUAAUUGCCACAAUCAGAACUCAAAGACCUAGCAAAUGCAAGGUGGUAUUUAUUCUAAACUCAGCAAAGUAGUAGAAAAAUAGUUUUGAGAACAGUUUUAAGGAGACUAGGGUAACAGUGAGAAAAUAGUUCAUGGCUAGUCUGGACUUAGGACUUUAGGGUCGGCCUGGUGAAUUGAAGGGAAGCAGCUGAUACACUCUGGUUGCCUUGUACCCUGGCUUUUGGUGCUUUCCCAUGUGCUGUAGUCAUCAGUAAUCUGACACUGGCCACCUCCCUGAACCUGGGCCAAGAUGAGGGUCUACACCUUGGCUUAGUUCUACUAUGAAAGACUUUCCUGCAGUAAAAGUUACCUGUCUGAAACAUUCAGAAGAGUGAAAAUGCCACAUCUCCAAUUUCCAGCAAUAUAUUUGUCUGCCAUGAUUUGGCCUGGAAGCUUAAGCAGGAAGACCACUUGGAGCCAGACUUCAGAGUGAUCUGUCUCUAAGGAAUAACUUUCAUAUUGCAGCGUUCGGUUUUGCAAUUCUUCCUAAGCUACUCUAAAUUCGCAGCAUAAAUCUGCAGAAAGACUUCACCCUCCACAUCAAACCCUUAUAAGGAUCCAUUUCUGCUCUCAUUUUAGAAUAUCUUUUCUAAUAGCUAAAGGCAGACAGAGGCAAACCAAGAAAUCCAGACUUUGCAUCAACGGGUUAAAUCAUAUGUCAAAGGUGCAACCAUAACGUAUUACAAGCUUCUCAUCACAUAAUACAUCACUCAAGAAAAAAUAUUUGGGCAGCUUUUCUAAUUCAUCUUCCUGGUGUUAAAGGAGCACAUCUCCAGUGUUCGUGUCUUCUGUUUCAAUUAAA
rnacentral:lncRNA from 1 species